AGUGAGCGCUGGCGGUAGGCCUAACACAUGCAAGUCGAACGGCAGCACAGUAAGAGCUUGCUCUUACGGGUGGCGAGUGGCGGACGGGUGAGGAAUACAUCGGAAUCUACUUUUUCGUGGGGGAUAACGUAGGGAAACUUACGCUAAUACCGCAUACGACCUACGGGUGAAAGCAGGGGAUCUUCGGACCUUGCGCGAUUGAAUGAGCCGAUGUCGGAUUAGCUAGUUGGCGGGGUAAAGGCCCACCAAGGCGACGAUCCGUAGCUGGUCUGAGAGGAUGAUCAGCCACACUGGAACUGAGACACGGUCCAGACUCCUACGGGAGGCAGCAGUGGGGAAUGUUGGACAAUGGGCGCAAGCCUGAUCCAGCCAUACCGCGUGGGUGAAGAAGGCCUUCGGGUUGUAAAGCCCUUUUGUUGGGAAAGAAAAGCAGCAGGUUAAUACCCCGCUGUUCUGACGGUACCCAAAGAAUAAGCACCGGCUAACUUCGUG
rnacentral:rRNA from 1 species